UUUUAUAUAAUCCAUGAGGUAAGUCAACACCCUACUGGCCCUAUCACUAAUAAUUAUUACAUUCUGACUUCCACAACUCAAUACUUACAUAGAAAAGUCUAACCCUUACGAAUGCGGGUUUGACCCACUAUCCUUUGCCCGCAUUCCUUUAAGUCAGGACAUUGAGUUCUUUUAGUUUCCUCUCUGUUGAUAAUUAACUGUUAUUGUUGUCAUCCCAGUC
rnacentral:lncRNA from 1 species